CCGCAGAGUUUUCCCUCGUGAAGGAGAUAUCGGGAUGAUUGAUACCUUAUUUUCUGAGCUUCCUUCCGAUCCAUUGGCAAGGUCCCGUCUCUGAGAUAGUUGAUGAGGGGGUCCAUCUAGCAGAACUCCUCAUCUAGCUGCAUUACCGCUACCGACUCUACUAUGCAUGGCCUGCUCAACACCCCAAAGAAGGUCCUUCAUGGCAACUCAGAUGUGGCGUUG
rnacentral:lncRNA from 1 species